rnacentral:rRNA from 1 species
CCCUACGGGGCGCAGCAGGCGCGAAAACUUUACAAUGCGGGAAACCGUGAUAAGGGAACACCGAGUGCCAGCAUCAUAUGCUGGCUGUCCAGAUGUGUAAACUACAUCUGUUAGCAAGGGCCGGGCAAGACCGGUGCCAGCCGCCGCGGUAAUACCUGCAGCCCAAGUGGUGGUCGAUUUUAUUGAGUCUAAAACGUCCGUAGCCGGUUCGAUAAAUCUUUGGGUAAAUCGGGGGGCUUAACCUUCCGUCUUCCGAGGAGACUGUCGAACUUGGGACCGGGAGAGGCUAGAGGUACUUCUGGGGUAGGGGUAAAAUCCUGUAAUCCUAGAAGGACCACCGGUGGCGAAGGCGUCUAGCUAGAACGGAUCCGACGGUGAGGGACGAAGCCCUGGGUCGCAAACGGGAUUAGAUACCCCGGUAGUCCAGGGUGUAAACGCUGCAGACUUGGUGUUGGAAGCCCUUUGGGGGCAUUCAGUGCCGGAGAGAAGUUGUUAAGUCUGCUACUUGGGGAGUACGUCCGCAAGGAUGAAACUUAAAGGAAUUGGCGGGGGAGCACCGCAACGGGAGGAGCGUGCGGUUUAAUUGGAUUCAACACCGUAAAACUCACCAGGGAAGGCU